AUUGAACACUGGCGGCAUGCCUUACACAUGCAAGUCGAACGGCAGCACGGGUGCUUGCGCCUGGUGGCGAGUGGCGAACGGGUGAGUAAUACAUCGGAACGUACCUUAUCGUGGGGGAUAACGCAGCGAAGGUUGCGCUAAUACCGCAUACGCCCUGAGGGGGAAAGCGGGGGACCGUAAGGCCUCGCGCGAUUAGAGCGGCCGAUGUCUGAUUAGCUUGUUGGUGAGGUAAAAGCUCACCAAGGCGAUGAUCAGUAGCUGGUCUGAGAGGACGAUCAGCCACACUGGGACUGAGACACGGCCCAGACUCCUACGGGAGGCAGCAGUGGGGAAUUUUGGACAAUGGGGGCAACCCUGAUCCAGCAAUGCCGCGUGAGUGAAGAAGGACUUCGGGUUGUAAAGCUCUUUUGUCAGGGAAGAAACAGCAGCUCUAACACAGUCUGCGAAUGACGGUACCUGAAGAAUAAGCACCGGCUAACUACGUGCCAGCCGCCGCAGUAA
rnacentral:rRNA from 1 species